AGUGAACGCUGGCGGUAGGCCUAACACAUGCAAGUCGAACGGCAGCACAGGAGAGCUUGCUCUCUGGGUGGCGAGUGGCGGACGGGUGAGGAAUACAUCGGAAUCUACUCUGUCGUGGGGGAUGACGUAGGGAAACUUACGCUAAUACCGCAUACGACCUACGGGUGAAAGCAGGGGAUCUUCGGACCUUGCGCGAUUGAAUGAGCCGAUGUCGGCUUAGCUAGUUGGCGGGGUAAAGGCCCACCAAGGCGACGAUCCGUAGCUGGUCUGAGAGGAUGAUCAGCCACACUGGACCUGAGACACGGUCCAGACUCCUACGGGAGGAAGCAGUGGGGAAUAUGGGACAAUGGGCGCAAGCCUGAUCCAGCCAUACCGCGUGGGUGAAGAAGGCCUUCGGGUUGUAAAGCCCUUUUGUUGGGAAAGAAAUCCAGCUGGCUAAUACCCGGUUGGGAUGACGGUACCCAAAGAAUAAGCACCGGCUAACUUCGUGCCAGCCGCCGCAGUAA
rnacentral:rRNA from 1 species